rnacentral:lncRNA from 1 species
UGAUAGAGAACUUGUCGUCGUGCGGUCGUCUGCACUUUGUAUUCCAGGAUAAAUUGUAUGAAUUGCGGUUAAAAUUGAAGCUUGUAUGUAUUUUCAGUCUCAGAAUCAAAAAAGCCAUGCGGUUGAAGAGCAUGCGUACAAGUAAAUGGUUGAAUGGUUGGAUGGAUGGUUAAUGCUUGGAUCCUGCCUAGUUAUUUUUCCUCUAUCUCGACAACGAUUAAAAGACAUAACAACCAACAAAAAUGCACUCCCAAGUGUCGUUUAUCCCACCGGUUGCUAUGGGCAAACGAUUUCCUUAUAGAACUCAACUUUUAUUCAUAAUUAUAACACAAUAAGACGGUAAAGUGAUAAUUGUUCCUGUCUAUGUUUUUCACACAAUUUUCCUGGGGAUAUGGAAAUAGAACGAGAAGGGACGUGUGAGACGCUUCUUACGCGUCAUAACUUUUAUACCCGGCACUCAGUACUACUUCUGCACCUUUGCGGUGUUUUGUCAAACUUAACAUUUUUUCUUCAUCUGUCAUCUACAUCUACAACACAUCUCACACCAACACGCUCCUUAAGCUCGUCCCCUUCCCAC